CAGUGAUUACUUUAACGGCCGCGGUACCCUGACCGUGCAAAGGUAGCAUAAUCAUUUGCCUUUUAAUUGGAGGCUAGUAUGAAUGGUCUAACGAGAGUAAAACUGUCUCAUAUAUAUUUAACAGAAACUAAUCUAAAGGUGCAAAAGCCUUUAUCUAUUAAAAAGACGAGAAGACCCUGUUGAGCUUUAAUCUUAAUAAACAUCUUUUAUAUAUUCAUAAAUUUGCCCUGUUUACUAAAGAUUUUAAUUGGGGCGAUUAAGGAACAAUCGUUAGCUUCCUGACUAUAAGUUAAAUCGAUCCAGCAGUGCUGAUCAACAAAACGAGUUACCACAGGGAUAACAGCAUAAUUCUUCUUAAGAGCUCAUAUCGAAAGAAGAGAUUGUGACCUCGAUGUUGGACUAGGGUAACUAAAAGGUGUAGCCGCUUUUUUGUUUGGUCUGUUCGACCAGUAAUUCCCU
rnacentral:rRNA from 1 species